GAUGAAGAACGCAGCAAAAUGCGAUAAGUAAUGUGAAUUGCAGAAUUCAGUGAAUCAUCGAAUCUUUGAACGCACAUUGCGCCCGCCAGUAUUCUGGCGGGCAUGCCUGUUCGAGCGUCAUUUCAACCCUCAAGCCCUCGGGUUUGGUGUUGGGGAUCGGCGAGCCUUUCUGGCAAGCCGGCCCCGAAAUCUAGUGGCGGUCUCGCUGCAGCCUCCAUUGCGUAGUAGUAAAACCCUCGCAACUGGAACGCGGCGCGGCCAAGCCGUUAAACCCCCAACUUCUGAAUGUUGACCUCGGAUCAGGUAGGAAUACCCGCUGAACUUAAGCAUAUCAAUAAGCGGAGG
rnacentral:misc_RNA from 1 species